GACGAACGCUGGCGGCGUGCUUAACACAUGCAAGUCGAGCGGUAAGGCUCCUUCGGGAGUACACGAGCGGCGAACGGGUGAGUAACACGUGAGUAAUCUGCCCUUCACUUCGGGAUAACCACCGGAAACGGUGGCUAAUACCGAAUAUGACCAGUCUUCGCAUGAGGUGCUGGUGGAAAGUCUUUUCGGUGAAGGAUGUGCUCGCGGCCUAUCAGCUUGUUGGUGGGGUAAUGGCCUACCAAGGCUUCGACGGGUAGCUGGCCUGAGAGGGUGACCGGCCACACUGGGACUGAGACACGGCCCAGACUCCUACGGGAGGCAGCAGUGGGGAAUAUUGGACAAUGGGCGAAAGCCUGAUCCAGCAACGCCGCGUGAGGGAUGACGGCCUUCGGGUUGUAAACCUCUUUCAGUACCGACGAAGCGCCCUGUCGGGUGGUGACGGUAGGUACAGAAGAAGGACCGGCCAACUACGUG
rnacentral:rRNA from 1 species